rnacentral:lncRNA from 1 species
CUGGAAAGAAGGAAGGGUGAUCCUGCUAAGACAGGGCGUUGUGAAGAUUUCCUUUCCCUCCGAACUAACAUCUCACUCACUUCUCUCAGUUUCCAUCAUUAUCUUCUAUGGAGUUCUUCAUUCCCACAUCUGUGGACCUUAAAAUCCUACCGUUGAGUGCCUGCCUUGGAUCAGCAGUCAGUUCGUUACCUUGGUUCUCAGACGAUGCUUGCAACAACGCCAUGCGAUUCGCCCACUCUUGGGUUACAUUAGUUAUACACUCUGGAGGUGACUUGACCUGUCAUUGUGAACAAUUAUUGCUCUUGGACGACCCAGGACAUAGGCCAGCCAGUACGUACCCCAGUGUGUUGGAGAAUCGCGCUCGGCUUCUUCCUCUGUGCUGAGUCAUGAAAGUUGCCGGAGCAGGUGCAGUUACACAACCUCCAGACAUCUAGGCUUGCUGUCAAGGCUUCUGAUCAACAUGAGAUGACCGCCGUGUGGUAAACUGAUGAACCCUGACCCUGAUCAACAUGAGAUGACCGCCGUGUGGUAAACUGAUGAACCCCGACCCUGAUGAACGUGAGAUGACCGCCGUGUGGUAAACUGAUGAACCCCGACCCUGAUGAACGUGAGAUGACCGCCGUGUGGUAAACUGAUGAACCCCGACCCUGAUGAACGUGAGAUGACCGCCGUGUGGUAAACUGAUGAACCCCGACCCUGAUGAACGUGAGAUGACCGCCGUGUGGUAAACUGAUGAACCCCGACCCUGAUCAACGUGAGAUGACCGCCGUGUGGUAAACUGAUGAACCCCGACCCUGAUGAACAUGAGAUGACCGCCGUGUGGUAAACUGAUGAACCCCGACCCUGAUCAACAUGAGAUGACCGCCGUGUGGUAAACUGAUGAACCCCGACCCUGAUCAACAUGAGAUGACUGCCGUGUGGUAAACUGAUGAACCCUGACCCAUUAGGCUUUGGCUACAGAAUGUGGAAAUAAGUUGUGUUACUACAUGUGUGUAAUCCUAGGGUGCAGGACACCGGCCGGGAGGUUCCAUAGAGUGAUGGGUUCUGCAGGUAACUCAUCCUCUAGUCCUCUGUAAGCUCCUAGAAGGAAGAAAUUAUGUCCUUUAGACUAAUAAAAUUCCUCCAAACCAAAUACAGCACCUACUGUGAAGACACAAAGAUACUUUUAGAAUAGUAAAAACUUUAUCCAUUGAGAAAUUCCUUAAUGAAACAGUAUCCAAGAAGUCAUUUGCCAGCAGAUUUCUUAGAGGUGCGAUAAAGAAGAGGACAUUGCCAGUCGUCACAGCAGCUGCAAUAGCUCCUCUCUAUUGUUAAACAGUGGGAUAUCUUGUGCAGGUUUUCAGUUGACAAUCAAUUUUAAAGAUUAGUUUCGGUCCCCAUCAAUCAAUUAUUUAUUAACCCAUCAAUAAAAAUUUAAAUGCUCUGUGAGGUACAAUAGCUAUUAAAAGAGACAGAGGCACUUUCUGUGUCCAGAGGGGCUUUUAGUCUGCUCUGGAAAGCAAGAUGCGUGCAGAUGAGUGACGCAGUGCAUCGUGUGGAUGCAAAGGGAGGGACUCACAUGGGAACCAGAGGAGCUACGAAGGGAGGCAGUGGGGACUGGUGGGUCGAGACCUGGAAAUAACACAUGAAUAGGCAACAAAGGUUUCCUUUCCUCUUCCAUGCACUUCAGUCCUUGAAAAACGUCUUACCACGGAAUUCCACAGCGUACCAAGCGAUUCCACAGCUUGAUGGCACACUCUCCUUUCUCAGCAUUCUUGAAAAUGGCGUGUGAGCCAAGCCAUCUUACUGAGAAAUUACCUUAAACCAUUUGAUGAACCAAAAAUAUUUUGUAAUACCCAUCUCCGACAUUAGGUAGGCAAAUCACACAGAAACACCGAGGUCUUCUGAGUCAUAUUUAUCUGAAAAAUCACAGCUUGGGUGCAUGUGAAGCCAGAGGAGCACUCCUGGGGCCUGCGGUGCCAUCACUCAGCUCCCCUGGGCUUCACAUGGCCAUGGAGCACCCAGCAAGUGUAGGCUCUGAGCCUUCAGGGAGGGGCGGCAUCAGCCAGCACCAUCGUCUCCUGGGUCUUGUGCCUCUUCCUUGGUUGCGGUGUUGUCAGGGCCAGAAUUGGGCAAUUCCGGGUGACAUCCAGGUGUGGCUGCUGACACGGAGCACAGCCACCUCAGGGAUGCAGGGUCCCCCACCUGGUCAAGUGCCCAGUGCUGUGUUGUCAUUUGCAAGUUCUUCCUGUGACUGAACUCCAAAUGGCACUGGGACUGCUGACUCCACCCACUGGACAACCCGUGUUCUUGCUUUUGGGGUUUCUGAAACAGCCCCAAGACUCUGGGCAUCUUGAUUUUGCUCCCAUUGCUUCUCAGGACACCCUGCUCCUGUGGUUUGCAGCCCCGGCCUUCUCUUCGAGGACGCCUCUGCUCUUCUGCCUCACACUCGGAUUGGACCUUCUUCAGCACAGCCAGUGGCCGAGGCUUCCUCCCUGGGGCUCAGUGGAGCAGGACAGAUGCUGCAUCCAAACUCUUCCAUUGGGUUCCAGUCUGUUCCAGUCAUGCCCUUGAGCCUCUAAAGCUCCUAGGUGAGAGACGUAGCAGCUGACAGCACUUCCCACUUGAUUUGGGUGGACUCCAGCCUCCCCAGCAACAAUAAGAGAUCAAAAGCAUCGUUGAGGAAGCAGCUUGCUGAAACGCUGAGUGCCCGCCACUCUCAGGUCAGGUGGGACCGGCAGGCCAGCAUGAGUUCCUGAACACUUGGUUCUCAAUACUGGCCACAGCCACACUGUAAGGGGAAACAAGAGGGCACUGUAUGCAAACAUCUCUUGAACUCUGGAGUCUGCUCACCUUCCUGCCUCAAGCCCCUCUCCCACGUGGUCCAGUCACCAUUCUCCACAGAGACUACCCUAAAACCCAGCGACUCUCGUGUGCCUGCAGAAUGGCACAGCCCGUUCUCAUAGCAGCACUCCUGUUUAAUCAGAGGGAUGUUAACGACCAAGUCAUAUUUGCUCGAUUUGUGUUCAACAUAUUUCAUUUGUACCGAUAAAACUUAAAAAUAUCCCCACACAUGCAUUGCCUAUUAAAGAGUAUCUUCCAGGUACACCUCCCUUACACAUCAGUUAACUUGAUAAUUUCUUCCCAUUCUUGUGCAAUAAAUUUCCUUCCUGAUCAGCUCUGUCCAGCAGCAACAAUAAUCCACGUAGAGACAUGCAAACUAAAAGUCCGUUAGUGGAGGCACGAAGCUGAUGAGGCUUGGAAAAAAAUGACCGAUUUGAUUAAAAUUAGGACCCAUGGGAGUGGAGCUCUGCCUAUUUUAGAGGCAAAGUAAAUGCCUGGGAGUCCAAUCACCGACAUUCUGUUUGAGGUUUCUAAUCACAAGGAAGAUGGAGAAAAUGCAGAACAAGUGGUCAAGAACAGGGAGAUAAUAAAUAGAAUAUUUAUGGGCUGAGGAAAACAAUUACCAGGGGAAAGCCCAAGAAGCAAAGAUGAACAGAGAACGUGCUGACUGCGCUCGUUUGGAAAGGCCUCAUGGCCAAAGGAGGAGAGGCAUUAUGAGGAGCAGUGACCGAGUGGGCAGGACCCCCGGGGAUCAGGAAAGGUGCACGGGGGGAAAUGAGAGGCCUGAGCGGCUUCCCAGCGAAGGUUUUUGAAGCACGGUUUGAUUUUCUCUCUCCCCCUCACCAUCCCCAA